rnacentral:rRNA from 1 species
AGUGAACGCUGGCGGCGUGCCUAAUACAUGCAAGUCGAACGGAGUGGCGCACGGGUGAGUAAUAUAUAGCUAAUCUGCCCCUUGCUGGGGGACAACAGUUAGAAAUGAGUGCUAAUACUCCAUAGCAAUGGAUGAGACUAUCUCGUAUCAGCUAGUCGGGGGGGUAACGGCCUACCGAGGCUAUGACGCGUAACUGGGCUGAGAGGAUGAUGAGUCACAGCGUAACUGAGACACGGGCCAAGCAGCUACGGGAAGCAGCAGUAGGGAGAAUUGCUCAUGGGGCGAAGCCGUGAGGGAGCAACGGGGUGUGGAGUAUGACACUUUUCGGAGCAUAAACUCCUUUUGUUAGGUAGGCGGUACCUGACGAAUAAGCACCGGCUAACUACGUGCCAGCAGCCGCGGUAAUAC